AGCAGCCGCGGUAAUUCCAGCUCCAAUAGCGUAUAUUAAAGUUGUUGCAGUUAAAAAGCUCGUAGUUGAAUUUCGGGAUCAAUAUAUCGGUCGUGCCAUUGGUACGUACUGGUAUCAUUGGUUUCUCCUUUCUGACGAACCAUGAUGUCAUUAAUUUGGUGUUAUGGGAAGUUAGGACUGUUACUUUGAAAAAUUAGAGUGUUUAAAGCAGGCUUUAGCUUGAAUACAUUAGCAUGGAAUAAUGAAAUAGGACGUUCGAACCUAUUUUGUUGGUUUCUAGGAUCAACGUAAUGAUUAAUAGGGAUAGUUGGGGGCAUUAGUAUUCAAUUGUCAGAGGUGAAAUUCUUGGAUUUAUUGAAGACUAACUACUGCGAAAGCAUUUGCCAAGGAUGUUUUCAUUA
rnacentral:rRNA from 1 species